rnacentral:tmRNA from 1 species
GGGGAUGCAAUGGUUUCGACGGGAUGUCGGGGUCAUGCAAACGCGUUCCGUGCCUGGUGUAAGCACGUUAAUCUUGGACCAUUUGGUAUAAUUGCCAACUACGAUUACGCACUGGCCGCUUAAUUGACGGUCACGUCCCCCGAAGGCCCGCCUGUUGGCUGACGGGACGGACGUCGCAAUUAGCAGGAUAGGCACUCCAAGCGUUCGAGGCGGAGGCCGAAACACUUCUUCGGACUAGUCUGUGAUCACGUCCUGUCUGUCGGGCAGAUCACGGGCGAACCAUAAAAAGACAGACUAUGAGCGUAGUAUGUUGCAGGUUCUGCUUUUCGGACGGGGGUUCGAUUCCCCCCAUCUCCACAC